CCGAGUUCUCUGCUCUGUGAGAUUUGUUUUGUUGGUACCAGAGAUCGAACUCGGGUCUGCUCUAUGAGGUUUGUCUUUACACAGUGCAAGACUUCACUUAGUCCUCAGCCCACUGUAAGUCACAGCCCAACAAGGGAGACCAUAUGACAAGAGAGGAGUGAGCCGGGGACCAAGGAGGACAGCUUCAUGGGACAGGAGCGGGCAGGGGAGAGAGGGAAGGCGGAAAGCCCAGGCAGCGCCCGUUUCCCUCCCUGGCCCAGGCUGACCUGCGGUGGAAUUGUGGUCACGUCACCCAAACACGCCAGGCAGGGCUGGAGGGGACCGGCCGUCCUCCUCCAUGGCCAGCCUGGGCUCCCAUGUGGCCAGCAGCUGUGUGACAGCCAGCAUAGCAGAAAGGACACCACCUGAGAGGCCAACCCGGUCGGCUCCAAGUGUGAGACACUCCAAAACCAAAACACCUCUCAAGUACUAAAAGUACCUCAUGGCACAAUGUGACUUGGACCAAAAGAAGGUAUUUACAGAUUUUCGCUCAUCCCAGUUAUUACGGGGUAUGAUCAAAAAUAUGGUGAAUGCGAAAACUGUAUUGUUGUAAAAGACGCAUAGCCAUUCAUCUCCUGCAAAACCCUCCCUCCUCUGAACACAUCCCAUCAUCCUUGACGCCUUCCGAAGCAGUUCUGCAGUCCUCUCUCCCGAGUGCCUCUAGUCUCCAGGCUGGGGCUGCCUUGGUGUCCUGAACUGAUUCACAGGAUUCCUCUUUCUUGCUCAUCUUGACUUCGGGGAAGAGCCAGAGUCGCACAGUGCCAGGUCCGGUGAAUGAGGGUGGGGACGCAGCGUCCAGGGUUUAGGACCUCGCCUUCUGUUGGACGGUGCUCGGCAGCAGUGUUCACUGUACUCCUGAUCGCACCUCAUGAAGACCCUCAGGAAGGACUCCAGAGCUGCUGCAGUGAUAAGGAAGAUGAGACGGUACUGAAAACAAGGAGUGGUUUGGCAGCUUUUUCUCCUUGGCACCUACAUGCAUUAGCCAGACACCUUUCACCAUGCAAAACUGCUCAGCAAAAAUAACAAGCUCAUGGGAAAAGCAGGACUUUGACUCAUCCUUCAAACCCCCACAAGUCUGAGGUGGGGGACUAACAAAAAUCACCACUGCCCUUUGUCAACAACUGGCCAGACCAGCAGACAGUAGACAUACGACAACCCUGGGGGACGGGAACUGUGGGCACUCGUGGGGCCGGGCUGCCAGGCUGUGGCUGCUGGGGCAGUCGAGGCUCAAGGGCGGGGUGGCAGCCAGGACCUGGGAGCCCUGAGAUGUCACUGCGGGUGCUCUUCGCAGGGAGGGAGCCAGGGCAGCAGGCUCAUUUACACGUUCGUGAAGCCCAGCUGGGCAACGCGUGGAGGCGUCUUCCCUCCCUGCGGAGGAUCGCGGUUCUGCUCCCACUGCUUUUCGUGCCUGGUGCAACUGCCCCAUUACUUUGACACAACUGUAGUACUCCCCAGCCACACGCUCAGUGGUGCCGAGACCACCGGGGCUGGAGCGGAGAAAGAAGGCCUCGAACGGUCCACAAGCCUGACCUCAGGGAGCUCACAGCCCGGCCAGACUGGUCUGAUCAGAUGCUGCAGUGCAGCAGAUGGCCAAGGACAACAGGGCAGAAGGAACAAAGGCAAACAGAGCUUUGGAUAAAAAGAUGUGGUGUUGGCACACUAUGGAGUACUAUUCUGCCUUCAAGAAGGAGAACCUGAGUCAUUUGUAGCAAAGUGGAUGCACACUGAGACCAUCCGGUUAAGAGAAAUAAAUCAGAAACACGAGCUUAAAUAUCAC
ensembl:lincRNA